AUUGAACGCUGGCGGCAUGCCUUACACAUGCAAGUCGAACGGCAGCAUGAUCUAGCUUGCUAGAUUGAUGGCGAGUGGCGAACGGGUGAGUAAUACAUCGGAACGUGCCCUGUAGUGGGGGAUAACUAGUCGAAAGAUUAGCUAAUACCGCAUACGACCUGAGGGUGAAAGUGGGGGACCGCAAGGCCUCAUGCUAUAGGAGCGGCCGAUGUCUGAUUAGCUAGUUGGUGAGGUAAAGGCUCACCAAGGCGACGAUCAGUAGCUGGUCUGAGAGGACGAUCAGCCACACUGGGACUGAGACACGGCCCAGACUCCUACGGGAGGCAGCAGUGGGGAAUUUUGGACAAUGGGCGAAAGCCUGAUCCAGCAAUGCCGCGUGUGUGAAGAAGGCCUUCGGGUUGUAAAGCACUUUUGUCCGGAAAGAAAUGGCUCUGGUUAAUACCUGGGAUCGAUGACGGUACCGGAAGAAUAAGGACCGGCUAACUACGUG
rnacentral:rRNA from 1 species